rnacentral:rRNA from 1 species
GACGAACGCUGGCGGCGUGCUUAACACAUGCAAGUCGAACGGAAAGGCCCUGCUUUUGUGGGGUGCUCGAGUGGCGAACGGGUGAGUAACACGUGAGUAACCUGCCCUUGACUUUGGGAUAACUUCAGGAAACUGGGGCUAAUACCGGAUAGGAGCUCCUGCUGCAUGGUGGGGGUUGGAAAGUUUCGGCGGUUGGGGAUGGACUCGCGGCUUAUCAGCUUGUUGGUGGGGUAGUGGCUUACCAAGGCUUUGACGGGUAGCCGGCAUGAGAGGGUGACCGGCCACAUUGGGACUGAGAUACGGCCCAGACUCCAACGGGAGGCAGCAGUGGGGAAUAUUGCACAAUGGGCGGAAGCCUGAUGCAGCAACGCCGCGUGCGGGAUGACGGCCUUCGGGUUGUAAACCGCUUUCGCCUGUGACGAAGCGUGAGUGACGGUAAUGGGUAAAGAAGCACCGGCUAACUACGUG